AUUGAACGCUGGCGGCAGGCCUAACACAUGCAAGUCGAGCGUGAAACUUCCUUCGGGGAGAAGUAAAGCGGCGGACGGGUGAGUAACGCGUAGGAAUCUGCCCAAAAGAGGGGGAUAACUUGGGGAAACCCAAGCUAAUACCGCAUAUACCUAAGGGUGAAAGGUGGGGAUCUUCGGACCUACCGCUUUUGGAGGAGCCUGCGUCGGAUUAGCUAGUUGGUGGGGUAAAGGCCUACCAAGGCGACGAUCCGUAGCUGGUCUGAGAGGAUGGCCAGCCACACUGGGACUGAGACACGGCCCAGACUCCUACGGGAGGCAGCAGUGGGGAAUAUUGGACAAUGGGCGCAAGCCUGAUCCAGCCAUGCCGCGUGUGUGAAGAAGGCUCUAGGGUUGUAAAGCACUUUAAGUUGUGAGGAAGGCAUUAAUGUGAAUAAUGUUGAUGUUUGACGUUAGCAACAGAAUAAGCACCGGCUAACUCCG
rnacentral:rRNA from 1 species